rnacentral:lncRNA from 1 species
GCCCCAGUGGGCAGCAGGAUGAGGGUCAGAGCAGAGGGGACUUAAACUUGAGCCGCGCUUGGCUGGACGGGUUCGGCUGGAGCAGCUUUCCUCGCGCAGUGGUCCCCGCUCUCAGAUGUUUUGAGAUGAGGGGAGAGGAAGAGCUGAAAGCAUGUGGCUCAGUCUAGGGUGCAGGGUGUCUCUUCACCAGAGUUAAAACUAGGGAAAUCUUUUAUGCUUUCUCUUUAGGGAACAAAAAUCUCUGGUUUCCAGAGGUGAUUUAAUUUGGCCCUAAAUACAGAAAAUUAAAUCCAGGUUGUGUCACGACGGAGCCUCGGAAUCCUGGCUCUGCUCGCACCACCUUCUGUGGAUGGAAUCCUGGGAGAGCUCCGUGGCCACCCGCCUGUAUUUGUACCGAGAGGAAGGCGUGCCAACCGGCAGCGUGGCAGUGGGCACCAGACGGAGCCAGACUUUAUUCCCGGAGGGAUGGGAGCCGGGAGCCACGUGCCGGUGCUUGCACUGUGGAAGGCUCGGUGCCUGGGGGGUGGCAUUGCUGAGUGGGGCUUGGAGCAGACACCUGGGAGACCACAGAGUGACCCAGGAGAGGGGUGGCUGCCCAGGGCAGGGCGAGGCCAGAGGGGUGGCAGUUGGUUGGUUGGUCACCAGCUGGAUGCCGGGGAGGAAGCAGGAGGAGGAGGCAGCGGGGAGACUGCUCAGGGCCCCCAUCCCUUUGACCUUGGAGUGACCUCCUUGGAGGGCACAAGACCAGGCGCCAACACAUGGACUCUUCACCAAGUGCCAUCUGCUUGGCCAGAGGGGAGUGGUGUGUGUUUUAGUUGAAGCCCUUGCUUUGGUGGGGGGGGGCACUUGGAAUUCCCAAGAACUUCCAAAGCUUCUUGCCUGUGCCUGUCCUGGAACGAAGGACAUCAAAACGAAUAAAACCUUUUGGCAUUGCACGAGUUGGAAAAGCCUGAUUCGGUGUAAAACUACCUUCCCAACCCCUUAAAGGCAAAGAAAGUAACCGUGUUGGUGUGAUUACAGAAGGAGCUCGGGCGCCCUUUGGGCUCUGUCGUAGCGUGUUCCCGCUGGUGUUUUCCAGGGGUGGGGGAGUGGCUGACACAGACACUCGAGAAUGUUCUGCCUGGGUCACCUGACGCCUGGCGCUCCUGUGGACUCCACACCCUCAGAUGCCAGCCCAGAUUCCAGGCCCCACUGGCCGUGUGGCAUGUGACUCGGGCCCAGAGGAAGAGAAUGAAGGAACAUAAUGAGCCUACGAGGACCGGCAGUUCAGCAGCUCACCUUGGCUUUUGGGGUGUCUUUUCCGAGCCUCGUUGCGGUUUUUGCUCACGGGCAUCUGGUCUUGCGGAGAGAAGUAAGUUAUCUGCGAGUGGCCUUAAGUUUGGCGGUCAGCCUCCUGUCCAUCAGAUUCCCAGCGCGCUUAGCAAACACCCCCACCGUUGAGAAAGAAAAGUAAGAGCGCUCAGGCCCGGCCGAGGCGAGAGAGGCCACGAGGUGAACUGCAGACGGCAGCAGAAGAGCCAGCUUGCCAGGAGCGGGGCCAAGACCCGAACCUGUCAAGUGCCCAGGGUGCUGCCUGAAGAGGGUAUGGUAGAUCAUUCAAAUUUUUUUUUUUUAAUCAAUUUUUUAAACUUGUAUAACGUUUGGGCAUGUCCUUGAGUGCUGCUGAAAAGGCUCCAGGACGUCUCUGCCCUGGGGCGCCACACAGGGCCCUCCGCUCAGCUGCGAAAGGAAAGCCGCAGCCAGCAGGGCAUCUGCUCCGUGUUGGCUGGAGGAGCUCCUGGCCUGCGGACCUCCUCCUUGGCUUUGAACCUGUGUGUAGACGCCCGACCAGUUCUGCGUGCGCGUGAGCGACCGAACAGCCACUUCUGCCCCAUUUCCAGGUGGCUCUGUGGGGAGACCAGGCAGUCCCUCGUGGAAGGCAGUCAGUGGCCUGGCCAGGCUUCGGGUGCUCUCUGGGACAAGGGCUCUGAUUGUCAGCCCCUCUCCGGAGCUGAAGGAGAGGGCUGGGCCCAGGGGUUUGCGGCCCCCCCGCCCCGUCUGGCUGCCCAUCUCAGACUUGGCCUCUGCUGGUGUUUUGGCUCAACCACCUGGCUGCUACAAAGCCAGCAUGGUGGUCACGGCCGGCGUGUCCGAGGGCCUGAGCGCCCUCUCCUCUGCUCAGGAACGUCCCCGCAGACCUGCUGUGAGAUGGGGGAGAAGCCCUUGGCGCCCCCUUCUGCUCCGAGGAGCCUGGAGGAAGAUGGAAGCCAGCACGCAGUUCACAUUUGAGCUGGGCCUGCUCCCGUGAGAUUGUGCGACUCUCUAAGGAGCUGCAGAAGCAUCUCUUUGUGACCCGUCACCAGGGAGCAGUCCUUGGUUUCAGAGGACUUGUGGGCGGCAGUGCCGCAAAGAGCGACAGACACAUCAUCACUCGGCCGUGCAGCGCCCGACCCUGCCCGGUAAAGGGGGGCCGCCACGGAGUAUCGGAGUGUCCUGUGAUGUCCUGGUGACCGACAGCCUUCCACGAGGGUGACAAGGGCUCCAGAACAGUGGACAGAACAGGAAUCAGGAGAGCACGACAUCACGGGGCCUUCAGGAAAUUGGCUUUGUUUUUCCUAACCAUUUCCUUCUGGUAAGAGGGUUCAAGCCUCUUACCAGACGAAGUGGUUCAAAUGCCAGCCCGGCAGAAGCUUGGGCAGGGCUGAUUGAUGUCCACUGGAAAAGCCCGAGAGGAAGAGCAAUUAGGGCAAGGAGCUGGGAAACAGAGCCCUGGGUUCUAGUCCUGUCACUUCAUUGCCUUUGACUUUGAAGCAGCCACUUCUCUGUAGACUGAGGCUAAUAGUGUUCCACCUCUCAGGAGAGGGAGGGAGCAGCAGGACAUUGUCAGGGCACCCGGUACCUAUCUAGUUGCCAGUCCCCUGACAUUACAAGUUAAAUAAAAUUUUCAUUUAAUUUUUUAGUUGAAGUAUAGUUAGUUUCUGUUUGCAGUAUUGUGUUAGUUUCAGGUGUAUAGCAAAGUGAUUUGGUUUUAUAUAUGUAUGUAUAUAUAUAUCUUCUUCUUUUUAAAAAAUUCUUUUCCAUUGUCGUUUCUUAAAAGAUACUGAACAGAGUUCCCUGUCCUGUCCAGUGAAAACCUUGUGGGUGUCUGUUUUAUAUACAGUAGUGCGCAUCUGUUAGUCUCACACUCCCAACUCACCCCCCUUCCCCGUCUUGCCCCUUUGGUAGCCAUAAGUUUGUUUUUUCUAUAUCUGUGCGUCUGUUUCUGUUUUGUAAAUAAGUUCAUUCGUACUAUAUUUUAGAAGCCACAUAUAAGCGAUAGCAUAUAAUAUUUGCCUUUCUCUGACUUUACUUAACAUAAUCUCUAAGUCCAUCCAUGUUGUUAUAGAUGGCAUUAUUUCAUUCUUCUUUGUGGCUGAGUAAUAUUCCAUUGUACUUACACACCGCAUCUUUCUCCAUUCAUCUGUCAGUGGACGUUUAGGUUGCCCUUGUCUUGGCUGUUAUAAACAGUGCUGCUCGGGACAUUGGGGUGCAUGUAUCUUUUUGAGUUAGAGCUUUUCCCCGAAGUACUUUUGUAAACGCCCACUGUGUGUGGGCCCUGUGUUGAGGGUGUCACAGGAUUCCCACUUAAUUCUUAUAACCACCUUGAGAAGUGGGUGCUAUGAUUGUCCCCUUUUUCUAGAUGAGGAAGCCGAGUUUUUUUUUUUGUUUUUUUUGGCCUGCCAACCUGUGCUUUAUUUUAUUUUUUUAUCUCCUAUAUAAUAUAAUGCAUUUGAUGUAUAUAACUAUUAUUUUUUAUUACUCAAUGAAUUUAUUCCAUUUAUAGUUGUACAGUGAUCAUCCCAAUCCAAUUUUAUAGCGUUUCCAUCCCACCCCCCAGCAUAUCCCCCCACCCCCCCAACUGGCUCCUUUGGAAACCAUAAGCUUUUCAAAGUCUGUGAGUCAGCCUCUGUUCUGCAAAGAAGUUCAGUCUGUCCUUUUUUCAGAUUCCACAUGUCAGUGAAAGCAUUAGAUGUUGGUGUCUCAUUGUACGGCUGACUUCACUUAGCAUGAUAAUUUCUAGGUCCAUCCAUGUUGCUAAAAAUGCCAGUAUUUCAUUCCUUUUAAUGGCUGAGUAAUAUUCCAUUGUGUAUAUGGACCACACCUUCUUGAUCCACUCCUCUGUUGGUGGACAUUUAGGUUGUGUCCAUGUCUUGGCUAUUGCAAAUAGUGCUGCAAUGAACAUGGGAGUACAUGUGUCUUUGCGAGUCAUGGUUUUCUCUGGAUAGACGCCCAGGAGUGGGAUUAAGAAGCUGAGGUUUAAUAAGAUGAAGAUGUCCAAGGUUGUCCAGCUGGUGGGCAGCUCUGUACUCUCUAUUGCGGUUGGUAAACUAAGCCCCCAGGCCGCAUCUGGCCCAUGGCCUGUUUCCGUAAAUAAAGUUUUAUUGGCAUAUAGCCAUGUCCAUUUUUGUACCUGUGUCUGUGGCUGCCUUUGUGCUACACCAGCAAAGCUGAGCAGUGGUCGCAGAGACCAUAUGGUUCACAAGCCUGAAACCCUUACUGCCCAGCCCUUUGGGGAAGAAAUGGGCUGACCCCUUCCCUUGAGGAUGCUCUGUACUCCAGCCCUGCGCUGGCCAGUGUGACAGCCACUCCCCACGUGUCACUGUUUAAACUUCCCCCAGCUCUGUGGAGGGAUAAUUGACACAAUGAUGGUUAUUUAAAUUUAAAACAAGACAGGAUUAAGAAUUUACUUCUCCGCUUGCACUGCCAGGAGCUCAGGAGCUACAUGGCUUUUCACUGUCAUGCAGCACAGCGCAGAUAUGAAACUUAGCAACACAGAAUGUUCUUUCAGGGCACUAGACUGUGUGUGGAAAAUCCAAUUCGGAGAGGAGGCAUUCCAGUGCAAGAAAGGACACCGCCUUUCCUGGCCCCAAACCCCAGAAUCAAAGAUGAGUUCGUUGGCUCGGAAGUGAUGGAGAAUGUGCAGUGUGACAGAGGGAGCCUGGGCCUGGAGCGAAGACGCUGCCCCCAGACCUUCUGUGUGACCGUGGACAAGCCACCCGCACUGUGCAAGCCACAGUGCCCAACCUCAAGGGACCAGUUGCUGCCUGAGGACCCCUCAGCGCUGCCGCCCUCUGGCCAGUCAGCCCAGCUCCUUUCUCCGCAGCUCCUGGCUCACCUGGGCCAGUGGCCACAUCAGCUCUGCAGUGCCCGGUGCCCCCUGCAUUCCCCGCCCCCCAUGUGUGUGCACAUGCUGGGCCCUGCGGAAAUGCACAGAAGUCCAAACUUUGCUGUUUUCAGAGCCUGCUCGGCCCCGGACCAUCUGGACCCCGUGGGCUGCACCACUGUGCCUCCCGUGCUGGGACGGGCCACGGAUAAGGAACUACUUUAUUCAUUCAGGGUGGGGGCUCCCAUGAAGCAGGAGGAAGGAAGGCCAGCUCCAGGCCCCUCGGCCAGCUGAGGUCCCGGGGCCUUCUCCUUUGGAUGCCCUUACCCGCCACACCGAGGCCGUCUGCUGACCAGCUUGGGGCCGGGCUCGGCGGCCGCUCUUGUCUUGCUUGGUUCUGAUGUUCCCUGAAUAGGAAUCUCCUCGGAAGCUAAUUGGGGGCGGAGUCCUUCCGAGGUGUGGAGGAUGCUCUUUGGACCGGACCUUAAAUGGCUUGGGGCCGGCCCCGUCUCCCCCUCGUUGGUGGGUGCCGAGGGGCUGUGCUCGGGGAAGAGCCGGGUGUCCAGACGGGGGUAGCUGCGUUAAUGAGAUGCUGCGCUUCGCCAGGAGUCGGGUCCACUCCCGCUCUUGGGAACAGCUGGGCCUGUCUGUGUUGGGUUUACUCGGGUCCAGUCCGCACGACUCUCCCUGACUUAGCCAAGGGCCCGCUCCCUUUACAAUCAGGAUGAAGGCAUUUCUAAAGUGGAGCAGCCAGUUAGCAGGAGGAGCUUCAGGACCUUGGGCGAGCGUGAGGAAGGAGAAAACCAGCUUAAUUCAGUGAAUUUAGCCAUAAAAGAGUUGCAUGAGGAGUUCUUGUUGUGGCUCAGUGGUUAAGGAAGCUGACUAGCAUCCAUGAGGACACAGGUUCGAUCCCUGGCCUCACUCAGUGGGUUAAGGAUCUGGUGUUGCCGUGAGCUGUGGUGUAGGUCGCAGAGGAGGCUCGGAUCGUGAGUUGCUGUGGCUGUGGUGUGGGCCAGUUCAACCCCUGGCCUGGGAACCUCCAAAUGCUGUGGGUGCGGCCCUAAAAAGACCAAAAAAAAAAAAA